UACGUAGGUCCCGAGCGUUGUCCGGAUUUAUUGGGCGUAAAGCGAGCGCAGGUGGUUUAUUAAGUCUGGUGUAAAAGGCAGUGGCUCAACCAUUGUAUGCAUUGGAAACUGGUAGACUUGAGUGCAGGAGAGGAAAGUGGAAUUCCAUGUGUAGCGGUGAAAUGCGUAGAUAUAUGGAAGAACACCGGUGGCGAAAGCGGCUCUCUGGCCUGUAACUGACACUGAGGCUCGAAAGCGUGGGGAGCAAACAGG
rnacentral:rRNA from 1 species